CAAACCACCUUUGCAAUUUUCUGAACUUCCUAAUGUAAGCAAAAAUCGUGGACUGCCGUUGGCGUUCCUCAGAAAACCAUUCUAACUUCCCUACUCCCCGAUGAAAAUAAUAGAAUCGCCUCUCUCAUAGGCUGCCGUUUUAGGAUGUAGACGCUAGUGAUGAAAACCCAAUCCGUGUUUCUCGUUGCUCAGAGAGAAAGCUCAGGAUAGUAAAUGCAGACCUUAGAUGAACAUCCAAGCCUUUAAAAGUUUGAGGAGGAAAAGUGCUUUUUGUGAUAUAGUCAACAUAAUGAAAUUUUGUGUAUUAUAUAUGUGUUCAUGUAUUUCCUAAAAGCUGCUCAAGAUUUGCAUGGAAAGAAAUGUGUUAGAUCUUACACAAGAGUAAACGCAGUCAUUUUAUGUAAGCAAGUCACUAGAAGAUGCAUGUACAUAAAAUUCUGAAGUACUCUUAGUUAAUUAUUUCACAUUUUUUAAAUUAUUAUUUUAAAUAGCAUAAUGCAUGCAUUUUUUGGGAAGCUGAGAAUCUGAACACUGAUACAAGUUUUCACAAAAUGAACUAAGCAACAUUCAAUAUGGACUAAUUUUUUUCCUGUCCAUGUAGAAGUUUCUUAAGGCUCUACUUUUCAUGGAUGUACUUGUUUGCUUUAAUUAAAAUACAUAAGAUAAUUCUGAAACAUCUGUUCCAAGAUGCAUCUGGAAAGCCAUCUUCAUCAACAUAAAAAACGUGCAUAUGUGACUUGUGCUUUGUAAUUUUAUAGCCAUGAUUUAUAGGUAGAUACAUUACAUUUCUGUCCUGAAACAUAAAUGCAUGAUAUAUGUUGACAAUACAUAUAAGAAACCGUAUUUGUGUAAGCAGGGUGAUAUCAGGAAGCAUAUCAAGCAUACUAUUACAAAAGUGCGGGACAAUAAGAUAAAAAUUUAUGUUUUUUGUGUAGUGAAUUGCAUAAAAAGAUAAAUUACUAUUCACAGUGAUGAGAAGCAGCAUCAAAACGAUACAUAUAGCGAAUCAUUUAUAUAUAGGAAAUUCAUUUCGAAAGUGGUAUGCAUAUUGGUUAGAAAUGUUACAUGUGUGAUAUUUAUAAUAAAUUGUUAUGUAAUGUAUAUAUUUAUGUGCAAUUGCAUGUCUGUGCUAUAUAUGUUUAAACUCUUUGCAUUGAAAGGUGAAUUAAAAAACAUGUAUGCUCAUACUGAUGAGAAGCCACAUGAAAGUUAUUCAUAUAUUAAAUUCCACUGAUGAGAAACAGUAUACAUGUGAUAUAUGUAAAAAAUCCUUUGCACUGAAAAUUAAGGUUACGUAUGCUUAUUCAGACUAAUGAGAAAUGCAUAUGCAACCAUUUCCAAUGAAAAAUAAUUUAAAGGCAGAUAUGCUUAUCUAUGGCAGUGAUAAGCAGCAUCAGUAUGAUAUACCUAGCAAGUCAUUUACAAAGGAAAUACAUUUAGAGAAUCAAAUGCUUAAUCACAUUGAUGAGAAAUUGUAUGUAUGCAGUAUUUGUAGCAAGUCACUUGUAUCAAAAGGCAAUUUAAAGUUACAUAUAUUUACUCACACUGAUGAAAAACCAUAUGCAUGCGAUAUUUGUAGCAAAUCAUUUGGACGCAAAAGCAAUUUAAAAAGGCAUUUUCUUAUUCACACCAAUGAGAAACCACACACGUGUGAUAUUUGCAAUGAGUCAUUUUCACACAAAAGCACUUUAAAGAAGCAUUCAGUUACUCACCAUAAUGAGAAACCACAGGCAUGUCAUGUAUGUGGCAAACUAUUUGCACUGAGACGUAAUUUAAAGGAACAUAUGCAUACUCACAUUGAUGAAAAACCACCUGUAUGUGAUAUAUGUGGCAAACAAGUUCCAUCAAAAAGUAAGUUAAAGAAACACAUGCUUUGCCACUAGCGGCUCAAAACAGGGAUGGCUGUGAGCGGCUCCUUACGGAAGGUCUGUUAUGCGCAUGCUCACGGACAUUUUGGCUAUUAUGCGCCACUUGGCGUUGUUUCUAUCAAUUAUCGGAAAAUUCGAAUGUGAGAGUGGUUCCUUUUUCACUUUAUAUAUAAAUAAUAUUUUUCACGCAUAUGAUAACUGUUUUAAAUGUUGAAAAUGAAAGAUCUGCUAUUUAGACAGAGUUCAUUGCGAACAAUGAAAACUGAACAGUUAAAUAUUAAAAUUCUUUCCGUGAAAACAUUCACGUUCAGCUUCCGAGCCAUCACUAGGCAGAAGAGACAUUUUUCGAAUAUUAUGAUAGUGCUUCUGAGAACAAAAUAAGAGAAAUUCCUGUCAUAAAAAUAAAUAUUUUGGGUGCUAGUUUCCCUAAGAAAGGUCCUCCAUGGAAGCAUCCCUUCCCUUAGGCAGAUAGUCCAUAUGAAGUUAACCUAACCUGAAAGUAAUAAUUUUAUUAUGGAUUGAUUUGAAGACAUCUUUAACAAACUAAAAAAAAAAAAAAAAAAAAAAAAAACCUACAAAUUUCAGAAUUUUUUCUCUAAUAACCAUAAUCAUAUUUAUUUAGUUUUGGAAUAAUUAUUUGAGUAUUUUCCAUUCAUAUAUAACUUUAAUGCUCAUGUAGAUUACAAAAAAAUAUUUUCCUAAAUUUUAAAAUGUUCUAUGGGAAUCAAAGCUAUUACAUUUAAAGAGGUUUGCUAGUUUAAUUGAGAAUGAUGAAAUGUGUGCUAGCUACCUAACAGAAGGAAUACCUUCACUGAGAACUAAGGGAUUAGGAUUAUUUGGAUUAUGGAAAAGUAUUUUACAGAUAUCUGCCUUAAGGAGGAAUGCCUCACGACCAACAAUAGAAACUUCCACAGAAGCUCUAGGGUUAUAUCAGAAUCUCCUUCUAAACAAACCUUCCAACUUCAUGACUGAAAUUCAUCGUUGCAUAAUAUAGUAAAAUUAACUUUCUUACAUCAGAUUUCAACCGCUUUAUAUACCUAUUAUGCAGUCAUUUUAUUUCUAUCGUUAUAUUAUUUAUGCCCCAUUUUAGAGAAUUUUAAAAAUGCAAAUUAAAAAAAAAAUAAUGAAAUAGUGGCAAUACAUGUUUACUGACUUUCGUAAAUGUUUCUCUUAUGUAGUGUGAUUAAUUGAGUAUGACGUACUUCUUCAUUUAUGCUUUCAUCACCUAUAAAUUUAGAUUUUAGAAGUAUUAAAUGUUUAAACAUUA
rnacentral:lncRNA from 1 species